GACGAACGCUGGCGGCGUGCUUAACACAUGCAAGUCGAACGGAAAGGCCCUGCUUUUGUGGGGUGCUCGAGUGGCGAACGUGUGAGUAACACGUGAGUAACCUGCCCUUGACUUUGGGAUAACUUCAGGAAACUGGGGCUAAUACCGGAUAGGAGCUCCUGCUGCAUGGGGGGGGAUGGAAAGUUUCGGCGGUUGGGGAUGGACUCGCGGCUUAUCAGCUUGUUGGUGGGGUAGUGGCUUACCAAGGCUUGGACGGGUAGCCGGCCUGAGAGGGUGACCGGCCCCAUUGGGACUGGGAUACGGCCCAGCCUCCUACGGGAGGCAGCAGUGGGGAAUAUUGCCCAAUGGGCGGAAGCCUGAUGCAGCAACGCCGCGUGCGGGAUGACGGCCUUCGGGUUGUAACCCGCUUUCGCCUGUGACGAAGCGUGAGUGACGGUAAUGGGUAAAGAAGCACCGGCUAACUACGUG
rnacentral:rRNA from 1 species